UGGGGAAUAUUGGACAAUGGGCGCAAGCCUGAUCCAGCAAUGCCGCGUGUGUGAAGAAGGCCUGCGGGUUGUAAAGCACUUUCCGUAGAGAAGAAAAGCCUAGGGUUAAUACCCCUGAGUCUUGACGUUACCUACAGAAGAAGCACCGGCUAACUCCGUGCCAGCAGCCGCGGUAAUACGGAGGGUGCAAGCGUUAAUCGGAAUUACUGGGCGUAAAGCGCGCGUAGGCGGCUUAGUAAGUCGGAUGUGAAAGCCCCGGGCUUAACCUGGGAAUUGCAUUCGAUACUGCUGAGCUAGAGUAUGGUAGAGGGAAGUGGAAUUUCCGGUGUAGCGGUGAAAUGCGUAGAUAUUGGGAAGAACACCAGUGGCGAAGGCGCUCUACUGGGCCGAGACUGACGCUGAUGGACGAAAGCUAGGGGAGCGAAAGGGAUUAGAUACCCGUGUAGUCC
rnacentral:rRNA from 1 species